UUACCUUGGCAUCCAUAUUAAUGUGGCCAAAAACUAAGAGAAAAAGGAAGGUUUUGUUUCAAUAGGAUUUCUUCUAAAUUCCUUAAAUGGAAAUAGUGAACAUCUACCUUGUUGGUAAAAAUUGAAUUAAUUUUUUUUUUUUUUAAAAAAAAAGCUAUUGAUGAUAAACCUAUGAUCGGAUUAGGGUUUUACCUCUUAGAUUUAAAAUCUUAAUUUUAGCCCUUCCUCUCCCAUUAAAGUAUAGAAUCAGUCAUAUCAUUCAAACUUUAUUCCAAAUUAUUAAAAGAAAAACGGGAUGAAUAAUAUUUAUCUACAUGACAUUCUAAAAGAGAGGUUCGUUUUCCAUUUAAACGGAUCACAUAUAAGGUAGGGGACUAGUUGUGAAUUGUGAGGUGUAAUUGUGAGUCAAAUUUUGUAUCUAUAAUGGUUUGGUAAUCGUAAAUAUUCAUAUGACAAAGUUGAAGUUUCAGAAAGAUUAGAUUCCAAAGUUAAAAAGUAGGCAAUAGUGUUGAAACUAAAAUGCAAAUAAUGUUUUUCUCUUUCUUUACUUAUUUUUCAUAUACUCCUAAAGUUUCAAAUUUUUUUUAAAAAUUAAUAGCUAUUAAUCCUGCUUAAAAUACCAUUUUGAUUAAUAAAUUUUAGAUUUCAUUUCAUUUAUUUUAGUUUCUAUAUUUCAAAAUGUUCGGAAAAAAAAAAGAGUUAAAUAGUAAUCGUUUUUUAAUGUAAAAAAAUACAUAUAUGAAUAUGAUUUUAAAAUUUACCGUGAGUGCUAAUAGAUUUUUUUCGGGAAAAGAAUCAACAAAAACAAUUAACUUGUAGGAAAUAAAUUUAAGAUAUGUAAUGAUUAUAUGAUUAAAUUUGAGUAAAUGAAAAUAUAUGAACUAAAAUAAAACAAGUUUGCAAGUACAGUAACUAUAAUUAGUAUUUAAUUAAUUUCAAUAAAAGAAAUUUUAAGAUUUAUGGAAAGUGUUCAAGCAAAAUUUUGAACAAAUGAAUUGGAUUGAAAUUUAAAAUAGAUGGUCUAAAAUGAUUUUUUUAACAACGAGUGAUAAAUACAAAAGUAAAUACUUACUAUUAUUAAUAAAAUUAUUUAAUGUUACAUUUGUGGCAUAGAAAUGUUGUUUAUUGUUUUUGUAAAAUAUCUUGAUGGUUUUCUAAUAUAGUUUCGAAGUAGCAAGUAGUGUGUUUUGACUUGACCUGUUCUUUUUUCCAAAUUAUUCUUUGAAAUUAUAUGGUGCCCAUCAAAUCGGGUAAACAGAGUAUCUGAAAUGAACUUUAUUGUCGUUUCUGAAACACAAAUUUCAUUGUUCAAUUAAAAAUCAAAACUAUAAGUUGGCUCUGUCUGUUUGAAAGAAAAGAAAUGAAAAAAAGAAAAAAAAAAAAUCUAGAUAUGAACUUUAUCUUUUUAGUGAGUGUCAAUCAGUUAGAUUUUUUUUUUUUAUGUGUCGAGAUAAAGAAGAAAAAAACGACUCUUGAUUAAUUUCCAAUGUGACAUGUUUGACACAAAAUAUGUGAUUGUUUAUCAAACUUUUGCUUGGUUGUUUUCCAUUGAGCUUUUAGAAUAAGCUUCCAACUUUAGGUUGGAGAGAUUUUUUGGAUCAUUUAAAAGCCGAUCAGAUUGGCUAUAAAAAAACCUUGAAUAGGUCUCCAACCCAAUUCAAUUCUCAAAUUUUGGGUUGGGGUGAAGUGGGUUUAGAGGAUUGUUUUGUUUGUCUUAUUAAAUUUAAAUAAUUUAAUUUAUCUACAAUACUUCAUAAGUAAAAUCUCAUAAAACUUGAAUGUUAAAUAUAAACUAUUCAUGAUAUAUAUUAUAAACUUAAACUUUAAACAAAGAUAAGCAUCAUAACCAUUGUAAAAGAAAAAUGUUAAAAAAGUUAAAACACUAAAAAAUAUAGCUCAACUCAAUUAAGUAACAGAAAAAAUUAACUCAAUCCAACCCAAAAACAAAAUUAAACCAACUUGACCUUUACAAUUUUGAUUGGAUAGUCCAUAUUAUAUGAAUUAUUGGGUCAUUUGAAUACUUUUUUUUCCAAAAAUAACAUUGAAGCGUUCUUAAAAACUACACAAAAUCACAAGUUGACACUCUUGUAUAAACACAGUCCUUUGAAACAAUUCUAUAAAGUUUUCACAAAAAGAAACUUGAAGUCGAAGGGCACCUUACAAUUUUCGUAAGCUUUUAAUUUCUUAAAACUAAAGCAUUAAGGUUAUGUUGAAUUUUUUUUUCCUCUUUUAAUUGGGUUUGUUUUCUCGCCAUUUUUUUUUAAAGAAACAUUUAAAUUAUAAAUUACUUUUUUUAAAAAAAACAGACAGGUUUUUAAUUAAAUUUUAUAUUUAUAUAUGAAAAAUAAAUUUAUAAAUACACCCUUUUCACCAAUAUAUUCAUUUGUUCUUUUCAACAAACUUUUUGGUUAGAUAAAUAUUAAAGUCUAAACAGAGGAGUCUUUUUAAGACGUAUUUCUUAUUUGAAGCUUAGCUAAGGAUUCAAUUUUAAUAGAGAUGAAUGUAUUAAAAAAGCAAGUUUGCUUUUUUAGAAGUCUAGAAAAUGAAAAUUAUAUGUUAUCAAAGAAGGCCAAAUCAUUGUCAACUUAGUUGAUGAGUACAAUUUUUAGAGGGGAAGAAAAGGUAAAGGGUGGUAUGUAGUAGUGGUAGGAUUAGUUUAGAUGAAAACAGAAAAAAGAAACAAAAGAAUAGUGUUGGGAUUAUUAGGAAGAGCGAAGACCUAAAGAGUUGGAGAAGUAGAAUAGGUGGUGGUUAGGUUAGUGUUGGUAUGGUACAUUAUUUCAGUCUUAGCCCAUUGGCAUUUUGCUGUUGAAAUUUGAAAAAAUAUAUAUAUGGUUGGUUUUGAUUUGGACUAUUAUUAUUCCUCAACCCUAAACCCACUUCUUUUUUACCUUUGAAUUUACUUCUAUAUGCCUAUUCCCUUAGCUUUAUACUAACUUUUACCCUACUCUCCUCUCUUUUUCUAUCACUAUCUCUACCUAGUUUCAUUACCUAUUUUCUUUUCUUCCAAUCUAUACCUAUCUUGAUAUAUAUAUAUAUAUAGUCUAUAAUCAAAUCAAAGUUUUCAUUUUUGUCUUUCUUUUUUACUUCCGUUUUCUCUUCAUUUUCAACAUUCUUGAUUGAAACCUUGACCAAUGGUUUGGAGAGAGAAUAGGUGGAUGAAAAUGAUGUAGUCGGAUAUAAAAUCUUUUUUGUUGCAUACUUAUCUUUGUUAUCCUAUUUCAUGGCCUUGUUUAUAAAAAUGCGUUCUGUUAGCGUUAACACAUCAUAUGUGAAACAUGUAGGGUUGGAUUGUUAGUUUAGUUUUUGUAACUUCCAUAUUUGUGUUUAGUUGAUAUUUGAACUUUAUAACAAAAAAAAAAAAAAUUCUUAAAUCCAUAUCUAAACGUUCCUAAUCUUUACAAAUUUUCUUUUUAAUUCAUAAAUCUACUAGACACAAACUUAAAAAAACAGUCUCAAUAAAUGGAAUAAUCCAUGGUAGCUCGAACUAUCAUACGUGUUGUUUUGUAAAAUCAAUCAAGGCACAUGUAAGUUAGUCCGAGCAAUAUCAAUAAAAAAAGAAAAAAAAGAAGAAAAACAAGACACGAAAUUAAAAGGUUGAAUCCGUGAGUUGCAAAUAGUACUUUUAGAAGUAAAAAGUAGUAAAAUUGCUAAUAUAGGAUCUUAAGAAUGGAUAGUAUAUUCAUCUUUCUCGAUUAGAAAGGCAUUCAAAAGUUUGGGGAAAUGGCACUUAAACCACUUCCUCCUCAAGAUAUACACACAUAUUAUAAGAAUUUAAUGAUUGGAUUAGAUUUUUCAACCACCGAACUAAAUUAAUAAUUUGAACUUUCAGAAGAAAAAAAAAACUAAAUAAUAGCUUCAAAACUAAUUCAAAUUGGGAUUACUUUCCCAUCAAUUAAUCAUUAUUAAUAGAAUUAUAUUUUAUAUUAAACCAAUUCCCCUUGAACCCAUUUGAAAAUUUAUGUAUAUUGAUUUCAUGGUUGCUGCUAAAAUUCUUGGUCGCAAUCAAUGUUCUGCACCCCUCAUCACCGGGGAUACGGUGGGUUCCUCUUUUUAUUUAUUUAAAAAUACUAAUAUUUUUUAAAAUAAUAAAAUAAAUUAAAAUAUUUACUCUUUUAUCAACCUCACUCUAGAAGUAUAUCAUUAGCUAUCAAAUGUAUCCAAUAUUUAUUAUUUAGAAUAUGAAUGUUUGCUAUAACUUAUAAAUAUUUUGUCAAAUUUGUUAUUUUUGACAAUUUUUUUUUAAAAAAAUAUUAUUUUAUUGUGAGUUAAAAGUAGAUAAAUUUGAAAACAUAGGGAUACAAUUUGUAUGCAUUAAAUUAGUUGUAUUUGGUUUUGUGAACUUAUAAAAUGAAAUUAGUGUAAUUUCAAAAUUGUGAUAUAGGCUAGAGGUGGAGCCUUCUUAAUUUGAAACUAAUAAAUGUUGGGUGGAGAGGGAGGAGGGAGGAGGGAGGAGGGAGGAGGUAGGAGGUAGGAUGGGGUUAACCCUUUGUUAUCAAAUCACUCUAAACUCUAAAUUCUAAACAUGAAUUUGGUUGAUUUUUUCUUUUUCCAUUUUCAAAAGAGGUUUAAAAAAAGUGUUCAAAGUUUCUAUUAUAUUUCCAUUCAUAUCUUUUAUAUUUGAAAUCGACGUUGUCAUUAUUUUUAUAAUCGAAUAAUCACAAAUUAUUGAAACAUUAAUACUAAUAAUCUAAAAAUAUCUUCUAUGCUAGGGAGAGAAAAAUACUUUGUUGUUUUCACAUCUUAAUCGUACAAUAUAAUUUUGUCACUCCUAUUAGUCUAUACUAUUUGAGAUGUCAUCAUUUUUCUAUUUGUUUACCUAAAGAUGUCUAUUCAAUCUAAACUUUAAUUAUAGUAACAAUAACUUCAGGUUCUUUAUUUAAGUUCUUAAUUAAUGAUUAGUUUUAUUGCUUAGAACAAUUUUAGCAAUGAAUUUGCAUCUUCAUAAAUUUUUUUAUGUUUAUUUAAUUUUGGUUCAAAUAGGGUUUUCAUACUUAAACUUGAUCUUAUAUUUUCAUAUUUUGUCUUGAAUGUUUAAAUUUGUUUUGUUUCUUAGUCCCUUUUAAAUGUUUUUUUUCCCGUAAGUUUUAGACACAUUGCUUGUUUUUAAAAAUCUUUUACCCAAAUAUAAAAACAAAAAAUGUGGCAUCGUUUGAUUGUUUCCCUGCAUGACAUUUAUGGUUUUAGGGCAUCAAUUUUUUUCAGUAGAAUUUCUUUAAUUAAAGUUCUCACCCAUCAUAUUUCUUUCUAAAAAAAAUUACAUUUUUAAAUAUAACAAAAUGAAUCAAAAUAUUUAUAAAAUAUAAUGAAUUUUUAUAUCUAUAUUUGACAGACUAUACAUACGUUGUUGAUAAUGAUGGAUAGAAAUUUAUUAAUUUAUUAAUAUGGUUAUGUCGAAUCAGUUGAUGAUAUAUGGAUUAAUGUGUAAUGUGGUUAAUUCCCUAAGUAGAAAUUUAUAAAUAGAAAAGAAAAAAUCAAUAAGGCUUUCUUUCAAGUUAAUUACUCGUUUGAAACGUUUUCGGUUUAUUAGUAAAGAAUCCAUUAUGAGUUGGAAUCACUUUCGGUAAAAUAAUAAGAAAUUGCAGAAGCUUAUUAUAUAUGCUUCUCUCUGAAAAUUCUUUUGGGAUUGUGUAUGGAAUCUCUACUUUUUGGUUUAAAAUAAAUAAACAAACCACAUAGCCUUAAUAAGAUGAAAACUCAUAAUUGAAAAUUCACUUUACAAUAUUUGAGGUAUAAAUAAAUAAAUAAUUGGGUAAAAACGGUGCUUAAAAUUAUAAUUUUAGUAAAGGUAUAAAUUAAAAAAAAAAAAAAAAAAAAAAGAAGAAAAAUCAUGAAAAUGAAAGCGGUUAAUUGUUAUUGAAGAAGAAGAAUCCAAGUAGUUUGAUAUUAUAUAUUGUAGCAAUGAGAAUUAAGAAAAAAAAAAAAAAAGAUGUUAUGGAGUAAUUAUUAUGUAAUAAAAAUGUGCCCAUUCCUCCACAAGUGACCCAUAAGAAAAGAAAAAAAAAAGAAAAAGGGAUGCUCUUAGAGUUAGAGGGUGGUAUGUAAAAAAGGUAAAGAGAAGUAAGUUAAAUUAUAAUAUAUAUGUAUAUAGGGAUAAUAGGGGGGCUAUGGUUGUAGAGUUGUAGGGUUCCAUUAUAGAGGUUUAGGUGUGGUCCAAAGUCUAUAUUGAGAGUUGAUAGGGUGACACACUGUUUGGGUAACAUUUGGAUGAAUGUAGGUUUGCUCAUAACCACACUUUCCAUUCACUCUCUCCUUUUCUUCUUCUUCUUCUUCUUCCUCCUCCUCCUUAAUUACUUUUUCUUUAUAACAAUUAACUCAUGUGUUUUCAGCCAUGCCAUCUGUCUUUUCUUUUUUUCCUUUUUUUCCUUUUUUUUUAUUUCUAACCUCUCCCCACUUCUCUAAUUAUUUCACCAUUCAUUUUUUUUAAUACACUAAAUCAAAUCAUUAUCAUAUUUUAUCUAAAACAUGUCUACGUUCCUUUAUUUUAUUUUAUCACGUUUAUUUUAUUUUAUCACGUUUCAAACAACGAGUAUAAGACAUUAACAGAUCUAAUUUAUGAAAAUGGUGUAUUUUGGAUAUUUAAUUAUUUACGAUUGAAAAUAAGUACGUGAUAUAAACUCUUUUUAACUCUAGAAGUGCUACUAUUAUAUUUUUGUAAUAUUCUUUCUUGAUGUAACGAACGUCGCUAACCUAUUAUUGUUGAUGAUUUAUGUAAAUCCAUGUGUCGAUUAUCUUCUAUUUUACAUUUUUUUUUUUUUUUUUGUAUUUCUUGUUUGUUAAUUUCAUUACAAAAACAGUUAGUAUAUAUCAAUUAAACUUUGUAUUUAUAAGAUAAGAAAGAAUAUAAUGGUUUUUGAAACUUUGAAUGUACAAUAUAUGUAUAGAUAUUAGAUGGUUUAUUAGUAUAGAAUUAUUAUACUUUUUAUAUUGAAAUUAAUAGUAAACAUGAUGUUAACAUGGUACUAAAUACAUUACAGCAUUCUAUAAAAUGAAUUAUAAUUAUUGGGAAAAUUAAUUCCCAAAGGUUUGACAUUGCCAAUUCCAAAAAUAAAAUAUUAACUCUUUUUAACUAUAUGAAUUUUUUUUAAUCUAUUUUACAUGGAAAUUCACAUAAAAGCAAAAUUUGGAUCCCAUUCCAACUUUAGGUGAGUUGAAGAAUAAAGCUUAAAGAAUAGCUUUUAUUUAUUUACUAAUAUUCAAGUAAAGAUAAAGUAACUAAAAAAAAGAUUGUAUAUUUUGAAGUACUCUGAAAAAUAUAUUGACAUGCUAUAUGAUAUUUAAUGUGAAGAAACGGUGCAUAUUUUGAUUAUAUUUAACACUAUUUAUAUAUAUAUAUAUAAACACUUCUUACACUAAAAAGCUCACAUUUUCCCCAUAUUUUGUUGCCAAUGCUUUAUCCUACACUAUAGCAAUUUGCUACUGUAUUAAAUAAAUACAUAUAAACUAAUUUGUAGAAAAGUAUGUAAUGUUGAUGUAGUUGUACAAUUCUUGAAAUUUGGCCAAACGAGAUAACAUUCAAAUGUAUAAAACCAACUGAAAUAAACCUAAAUUAUAGUUAGUAAAUUUGGAACAUUGACGGAAUUGAAAUAUAUUUGAAAAAGAUGCAUAUUUAACACUAUAUGGACUAGCAAAAGAUGAUUCUUUCAAGCUUAGUUAACUUCCAUGGUUUUGUACAGAAAAGAAAAGAAAACCCUAUUUAUACAACAAAACAACAUAAUAGAAAAGUAGAUCACAAUUAGAUCAAAUCUUUUGUUGAAUUAAUAAUAAUUUAAAAGUAAGAAAAAAAAUUAUUUAGGAUGAUUACAUUUGAUGUAAGUGGUAGGCAAAAUGAACCACCCUCUAUUAUUAUAUUAUAUUGUUUACAUUUUACCAUCCGAAGAAAGAAAUAUGAAAAAGUAUUGAUUUGAUUGGACUUCUCUUUAAACAAUAAUUCUUAAUAAUUAAACUUCAUUUAAUCCUCCCCAUAAUAAAGUAAAACAUUAUACGGUAAAAAAAAAAUGUGGAAUGGAUCCUUAAUUAAACUAUGGAAUUCCUUAUCUAAUAAAAAAAAUUAAUUGAUGUAUUAUUAUUAGAAAAUCUAAAUUAUGAAUCUCCAAACAAUCAAAUUAGUUAAUAACACUUCUAAGGUAGAAAUAAAAUAAUAUUAUAAUAGGGGUUAUUUUUAAAAAGAUAAAGAGAGAGAGAAAAAAAGAUUAAUGCAGAAUUGAAAUAGCCGAAGCCGAAGCCGAAGCCGAAGCCGAAUACAUUAUAUUUUUAUUAUAUUUAUAGUUAUUCCCUUUCUUCCUCACAAACCUAAAUUAAACUUUGUCACAGCAACAGUUUGAAGAAUCAUUCAUUCCAGUUUCCAUUUUUCAUUUUCCAAUUUUCAAUUUCCAUUUUCCAUUUCCAUUUCCAUUCCACUCAUCUUCAUCAUCAUCAUCAUCAUCAUCAUCGUAAUCUUCUUCUUCUUCUUCCUCCUCCUUCAUCUCAUCAGUCAUCUGUUACUGUGAAAUGAAACAGAAUUCCACUUCAUUACACACAAUUGCUUUUGCUCUAAUAAAAUUUUCUUCUUUUUCCCAACACUGCAUAAUCCCCACAUCCCAUAACAACUAACUCUCUCUCUCUCUCAAUUUUCAUCAUAAACACACCCUCUUCUUGGCUCUUUCUAUCUCAACCUCUCUUCUUCUAAUUUCCUCUCAUCACCUUUUUUUUUCUUUUUCUUUUUUUUUUUUUCUUUUUGAGCUUUUUCCAAUCAACAAAAUGUUGGGUCUCCGAGAUGUUCUGUUUAUAGCUCCCACACCCUCUUCUCUUCACCAACAGACUCAAAUCAUUUCUUCUGAUCAUCAUCCAUCUCUUCCUCUUCCCUCCUCCACCGCUCUCGGCGUUAGCGUCGGCAUUUUCCCCCUUCUCGCUGCAACCCCAUGUCUCCCUCCCUCCCAGCCCCCGCCAAAUAAUCACACACCUGACGAUGUUACCGAUCGUACUCGCACUUUCGACAAUCUUAAGAGAACCCAAGAUUUUGGCUUUGGGAAAGGAGAAUCCUUGAUCGCCGGUCCCGGAAAUAAUGGCUCCGACGAACAUGUGAAAGGCGAUGCUGGGGAUGGCUCUAUGGCUGUAUGUAGGGACUGUGGAAACAGAGCAAAAAAGGAGUGCGAGUAUCGGAGGUGCAGGACUUGUUGCAAGGGACGUGGGAAUCAUUGCUCUACGCACGUGAAGAGCACGUGGGUGCCUGCGGCUCGCCGCCGUGAGCGGCAGAUGUUGGUGGUUAUGGACGGCGUUGCCACUGCUAGUGGCGACGGAGGGUCUUCCGGUUCUUCUUCUGCUGGUGCUAAAAGGCCUAGAGUUUUGAUUCCUUCACAGAGUGCUGCCGCGGCCGCCGCUGCUUCCACUUCCAAUGCCACAACUCCCCGGAGUUUUGAAACAACCUCUAGCCAUCAAGGUAAAUCUCUCUCUAAAUCUCUUUUUCCAUUCUUCCAUUUUUGUUUUCUUGUGCUUCUCAACGAAUUCCGAAUCAUGAGCAGAAAUUAAUGGGAUAUCUGUUUACUCUGUUUCUUUCUGUUUAAUGAUUUGGUUACUUGUUUCUACGUGUAUAAAUUUGUAAAAUUUUUAUGAGUAGUUUUUAUUUUAGUUCUCUUUGAAGAUCUUGCAGCAAAUUUAACGAAACAUGUUCAUUAGGUAUGUUGUUCGAAAACUUACCAUCCUUUCAUGUUAUAACUCUGUUUUUCUCCUCUCUCUCUCUCCUUUCUCCAACAAGGAGGGAGUGACUUAUAUAUAAAAGUAGAAUUUAGGACCGUUUGUAAAUGGCAUUUCGAGUGCUUAAAAGAUAAGUUUUUGUUUUUUUAAGUGUUUGUGUUUAGUAAGGAGCUUAAGUAUUUAAAAAGGGGUUCAAGUGUUUAGAAAGCCAUUCCAAACAGGCUUUGUGCUGUUAAAACAUGCACAUCUAUAUGUAUUCUAACUGUGUUUUUUUAGCAACAAGAUCAUUUUCUAAACCCACCUCUUGGAAUUCUCCUCACUUUGAAACCAGAUGCAAGCUUCAAGAAGUCAUUACCAGGGCAUGUUCGAGCUCCAGCCGUGUUCAGGUGCCAUAGAGUGACUGCCAUUAGCAGUGGUGAAGGUGAGUUAGCUUACCAAGCAACAGUCAAUAUUGGUGGUCAUGUCUUCAAAGGCUUCCUCUAUGAUCAAGGAGCUGAUGACAAAAAUGCAUUCCCAUCUAUUUCACAUCUCCAUUUGGACAGUGGUAACCACCACAGGGAAUAGACAUUCCUUCUCUUCAUUCUUCUCCAAUUCUCCCUCUGAUCACUCUUCUCCUCCUGAAAACUCGGUCUUGACCACUUGAAAAAAUAUGAUAUCUUUGCUAGAUUUCAGAGGUCUGUUAUGUUAUCUGUAAGUUUCAUAUAGUUGUUAUCAUGGUGGUAAUGCAAUGAAUCUUGCACUAAAUAGAACACAAAAGUGCAUAGUUGUAAUAGGAAUUUUCUGUUCUAGCCUUAAGCUGGGUUUAGUGUAAGAUUUAUCAAGUUCAAAGAUAGUUGGAUAUUGAUCUUCUGUAUAUUGCUUAGAAGAUGUGUAACUUUCAUCUAUCCAAAUAUCUGCUGAAACAAGAGUUAGCUUGUCUUAUUUCAUAGCAGCUGUAUUAUAUGUUGGGAUACAAGAGUUCAGUCUCUUCUUUUACUGUCUAUCUCAAAGAGUUUUACGAAACAAAUGAAAUCGUUCAUCUGAGUAAGUUCUUGCGAAAUUCCACGAUGGUGAAACAGGCAAAAUGCAUGUAAUGCUUCCUCUUUCUACAUUACUGUCAUUUGUCUUCAUCUUUGAACAUUUUCAGUGAUUUGGAUCGUCUCCAAUUAUGAGAUGGGUUUCAUUGAAUGGAAGUCAUUUAUUUGAUUGAGACGAAUUUGAUGGUGAAUAUGUAGGGAGAACCAGAUAUAAGUAAAGUCGGGACCCCACAUGACACGAACAAUAUAAGCAGAAGAUGAAAGUUAGUGAAGCGUAGUUCCAUUCUCAUCACAUUUUUAGCAAAAAAGAAAGCCAGAGAGCAAUGGAGAUGAACACUAAAAACUGAAAAGUGGGAAGGAAAGAGCAAAGCAGUGUAAGAAUUACCAAAACUUGAGAAGAGUUAAAAGAGAAAAAGAAGCAUUGAUGAUUGAUGGAGAAGAGAAAAGGAUGAAUAUGAAAACAGUACCAAUUGAGACUCAGUUGUUAAAGGAGAGGGAUUUUCUUCUUCCCAGAUGACAUUAAGAAAAAGGUAUGCAUUAAAAGGGAUGAACAAAAUGAAUAGGUGAGACCAAUAACCCCCACCCCCUUUUUGUCUUUUCAUAUAGGAAUUGUUAGGCCUAAGUGAAUGUGUAGGAGAUUGAGUCCAAUUACAUAUCAUUGCAAAUGCCAAAAACAGAUGUGACAAAGUAGUGGUAAGGCAAAAACAUGCACUUUUAUUAUAAAGAUUAAGGGGGUUUCAACUUGAAUAUAUAUUAUAUAUAUGCUUUUGUAGGAAGGAAAAACAAACUUAAAACUCAUAUUUCAUAUUUGACAUAAUCUUCUUAACCUUUUUACAAAGGAAGCUACAUUUGCCUGUAAAAUAGUAAAUUAAUAUAUACAUUUGUCCUCUUCCCCUUUUAGAGCUAUUAUAUUUUUCAUACACUCAUAUGAUUUAACAUAAAAUUAUAUGAGAACAUGCACUCCUCUGGGUAGAUAUCACAUCAAAAAGACAACUUCUCUUGUUAGAUAUACACAACAUUUUUCAUAUGUUUUACACAUGAUAUGAACUGCUCUUUUUUAAAUAAAAUAAAAAUGAAGAGAGAGGGUUUUUUUUUUUAUUUCCAACAAAAAAUUGUGUCAUUUUACAUCUCUUAAAUUCUUCUAACAAAACAAACAAAUUAAUUGUAGGUUGUCUCCCUUGUUCAUGACCUAACCCCUCUUCCUUUCUUUUUCAAAAUUAGGUUUUUUUGCUCUCUCUGUCUAUGUAGAGCUAAGAUGGGAGUAGAGAGGGGCCUCCCCUACUCACUCAAUUAGUCUUCUUUACUUUUCCUUUUCUUUUUCAUUACACUCUUUGUGAGGACAGAUGAGAACAUUUUUUUUAAAGUAGGUUAGUAGGAAGAAAUAAAAGAUAUCUGUUUUUCUUUACACACACAUAUAUAUAUUUCUUUAUACCAAAUAAAAGUUACCCGAAAAUAUAAAAAGAGAAUAAAAUUCUAAGAAAUUCAUUAGAUACUCAAAUGUUGGAAGGUUGAUUGACCAUUAACCUAUAAUUCGAUAUCCAACAAGUUUCUUCAAUCAACCUAUACUUCAAUAUCCAACAAAUUUUUUGAUUACCAAAUGUUAUUAGGUUAAAUCGGUUGUUCUAUAAGAUUGGUCGAGGUGUGUGUACGUAUGUUGAUUAGGAUACUCAAGAAUAAUAUAUAUAUAUACACACACAUAUAUAUGACAUGUAUAACUUACCUUUUUUGUUAUUUACAUUGAAAAGGUAUCCCACCAAUGCUUUAUAAAAAAGAAAACUAUUACUCUAAAUAUAUAAAAAUAAAAUAUUCCCAAAUCCAAUAGAAAAGAAAAGUAUGUUCGAUAUAUAUAGAGAAAAGAAAAGGCCAAGUGAAAUGAAGAACAAGGUUGAAAUGCAUUACCCUAAAUAAUGUUUUUCAUUACUUUUUUGGUAAUGUGAAGUAUAAGUAGUGAUUCAAUUGCAUAGUAAAGUUAUGAACACAGAAUAGUCUCCUGAGAAUUUGAACCACAAAUGGACUAAAAAUGAGAAAAAGAAGAGAGAAUGAUAACAUUAACACAGAGGAAUGUAAAAAAAUGAAAGGGUGGAGAAGGAAAUAGAUAUAGUUAAUUAGUUUUACUAUUGUGAAAGGCUUUUUCAAACUUGAGACAAGAACAUGAAUACAAAAUAAUAAUAAUAGAAAGAAUAGAAUAGAAACCAUGUUACAACUUUAGUAACAGUUGGGUCUUCAAACUUUAGUUAAUAAAUAAAUUUACAAAUUAGUAACAUUUGGGUGAGGUGAGGGUAAUAACUCUCAUCUAUAACUUUCUAGAUCAUAUCACAAUUUUCUAAUAACCCUAACUUAGAAAAAAAAUACAAUGCAUAAGUGGCAAAGCUCUACAUGGUUACCUUAAUUUUAUACACCAAAUGGUUGCUCUUUCUUUGUUUUUCCGCGGCCAAACGCUACGACUCUAUCAAAAACUGAUAUCAUUUCUCACAACGGACCGACUGUACAAGGAUGGCCACUGUCUGCAAGUUUUGAUGAAUUGGGUCAGUAUAACAACUUCUUCAAGUGUCUUCUACAAAAAUUCUGAAGAUGAAAUCUCGAAACCGUUUCGAAUAUUGCUUUGGAUCGACAGCAGAUAUUGACGACGGAUCAUACUGAAACGAUUUAUAAGCAUGCUCAAGUUUCUUGCUGAUAUCAUAGUCUUGUAGUAUGUCGAUUAUACCAAAGAAAAUGAUCACAUCAUACAACUCCCCAGUUGGUUCUCCUACUAGCUGAGCUUCGGGCUCUCCCUGUCUCACUGUCCGUUCUGCCCGUGCUGGCAAAUUGAUGCCUAGACUAAUGGAAGCCCACCUGAAUAAGUAAAUGGUCAGACUUCAGAAUAAUGAUUGUCAGGGAAUGUCAGCCGCAAGCUAUCAUAAUGAAUUCAAGUUUGUUUUGGUGAUGAUAUUGAACUUUAAAACAUCAAUGUUAUAGCUAAUAAACUAGUAGAAUGAACGGAAACCAGGCUAUACUCUUGAACAUUUCACUGAAAAAUAAACAUUUACAUGGUAAAGCAAAGUACACGUGUUUCAUCAGCAAAAUUUUCACAAUCACAGAUAAUUGAGUUUCUCGCUAUAUUACAGCGGUUGCAUGCAAAGGUCUUUAGACGAUUUCAGAAAUUGAAUAUCAAUAGUUCAUGAGUCCAUUCUACCUGGCAGAGUCUUGUUCCUUGUCUGCUCUUAACUGACCAUCUGCUUCGUAGUCAGGAUUACUUCCUGUGAUGUACAUUUUCGAAUAUCAGAUGUUUUUUUGUUGAAACAAUGAUUUAAAUAAGAAGCUCAAGAUACUCGAAUCAAAUAAACAGCAAAAACCUGAGUGAUGGCUACCGGGUGUGCUCACUUCCCGAUAUGAAGUUUCUUGGAAGUGAAGACCAACUAAUAGACUGUAGUCCAUGAUUCUCUCCUGUUCAAGAAAGUCACAAUCCUUGUCUACUUGCCUGCAUUGAAACACAAUGGAAAAUAUCAACGAGAGGUGUAAACUGAGGAAACAUCAAAUAGAAUAUUGUCCAUAAUAUUUGUGUGUGGCCACUGAUUUUUUCUUCUUCCAUUCCUAGUAAUGAAAGUUUUAAUUUUCAUUUGAAAGAAAUAUUAAAUAUGUCAUAUGAAGCGUUGCUAAAUGUAGAGAUUUUUCUCAUUCUUUUUAGAAGUGUGACCGACUAAAUAGUUAUUUAUUUCUUUAUUUUGUCUUCGUUAUAGUGUUAAGAAAAUGUUGCCAUUUUAUAUUACAUGAUACUACAAAUUACAGUUCAGAUAAAUUUUAACUUAGCUCCAGGUAUGAGUUCAGAUGUAGAUUCGUUUGCUGACUCGAAGGUGAUCAGGGAGCAACGGAGUGAGAUACAAAUUCUUUUAUCAUGAACAAAAAUGAAUAGCAAACAACCGGUAAGGAAAAAUGUUAAUAACUUAUACCUACAAAAUUCUUGGAACCAAAUCUUCUGCAACCGGAAUAUAUAAUUAAGGUCAAGAUCUUUAAGGGUUGUCGUUCCAUCGAUUUCUGCCUCUGGUUUAUCAGUUAUACGGCCGUGGGAAGAACCUUUCAAGUCAAAACGCCUGUGGAUUGUGUACUCGGAACAAAAUAAAUUUCCCAUUAUGACAAAUCGCACCUGUAAAUCAACAAAAUCUGUGAACUGAAGGAUCCAUAGAAACCAUUGUACUGCUUUAGUAUCCUUGUAUACCUUCUUUUGUGAAGUCCCAGUUAAUCUCACACAAUGAAGACCAUAAAAUUUGGUGACGAGGGUAUUUUCAAAGGACCGAACGUGCUUAUAGUAGGCUGGAAGCAUCCUCAAGAGAACCUGCAUGUAUCUUGGCCUGUUCAGAUUGGAAUAUAUUCAACUCACAGAAACGCAUACAUGUACUCGGAAGUAGCAAAGCCUAGGAUAGAUGCAACAAGCAACAACUGAACCACAAAAGUAUAUCAUCGAAUCGAGCUUUCAAUAACGGCAUAAAGAUUGCAAGAAAGUACGGAGAACUCAACAAGAUAACCAAAUUCACAUUAACGAGUUCAUUAAGGUUAGGGAACCUAAGCUAAUCGUGCAAGAACAACUUCAGAUCAGAAGUUCUAAAAUGCCAAAGGAUGUUGAAACUUUCUUAUGUAGGAAAGCUUAUAAUUUUAAGCAGAGAUAAAACUAAAAGGGAAUCCCAAUUUGAGACAGCUGAGAGAGAAGACAGGACUAACUUUCACUUCAGCCUUCCUCAUGGUUUUAAUCAUGUAUCUGUCAUCAUGGGUUAAGUAAAAGAAACUCCCACUUUUUCCAGGGGAGGAGAGUUCUCGAAGAGCAUCGUUUCCACAUAUAGAUAGCAUGUAAUCAGCUGGGUCCACCUUGAACAGUUUCCUAAGAGUCCUGAAAUACAAAUUUGUGAACUAAUAAGACAGUGCCAUAUUCCAAUACAAAAAUCAUGACAAUAAAAUCAAAGAGUUUCAUCUGGCAUUCGCUAAGAAUUAAACAUUGCAAUCCAGCAAUAAGGCUUGCUCUCCUGUUCUAAUUUGAAAGAAUGUCUUUCAAAAUGUUCCUUCCAUUUAAAUUAUUUGAGAGAUCACGUUGCUGAUUGAGCAAAACGUUUGUUUAGCAUAUUAAGCCUAAAAACAAUUAAAGAAAUGCAGAUUGCUAAAAUUGUUCACUUAAUGACAAACCUGAAGACAACAGGACAGUAGUCCUUCCAUCUGAAGUCGGAAGAUUGAUGAGGUGGUGUAUACUUGGAUCCUUCAGGUGGAAAUUUUGUCCACACUUUCUCCUUGGGAUCGAAAGCCGAAGACUUCAGAUCAAGGGAUGUUGCUGGAGCAGGCCUCCCAACAGAAUGCCUGUGCUAUGGAACAAAAAAAUCACUAAGUUGAAAUGAAUACAUUGGCAAUUAAAUAGACAUUUCUCAUAUGUAAAACAUGAAGCCUCAUUGUGGUAGAGUAGCUUCAAACGACAGGUUCCAUAUCAUUGAUACAAAUCAACGUGCCCCAUGAUUUAUCUAUAGAGUAAAAUUCUUUCUACACCAUUCGUUCUGAACUUCUUGAACAAACUCGAUGCAAUAGGCUACAUGCGUAUCUCAGAUAAUAUUGGUUGAAGGAGUAGAAAAGGAGAAAUAAGGUUAGACUACAGCAUAAGUCAAGGAAAGAAUUCUUAAAUCAUUUAUACCUGAUCCCCAGCUGCAGAUUUAGCAUGAGCUCAUAGUUCUUGUGUCCCUUUGAUAUUGUAAUGCCCUGUCUCUUUGCUGGCUGAAAUCUCAAAUUUGAUUGCCUUUUCCCUUUGCUGUCUAAAUCUUGGAGCUGAUGAGUUCCUAUCCCAUUUCUAGAACUCGCUUCGUUUGAACCAUCAUUCAAUGAUUCAAAACUAGAAUUGCUGACUUUGCCAUCAACCGAUGUUCUUCUCAGUCUCCUAUUCCCAUCAUUGCCUUUCUUUGAAAUUGUUUGCUUUUGCGGAGAGUCAAGGUCGAGCCCGGACCAACUUAUCAUCUUCUGAGAGGGAUAGAUCAAAAUCCUUUCCCCUGAACAAAGUACAAAAUCAUUCAAAUACUCAGCAAAAAUCUCCUGAGGAUCGGAGCUCAUUUCAGUCUCAGAAGAAUCAGAUGGAUAAAAAGUUCCAGUCUGCUCUGUAGGAUCCUUACUCCAAACACCAACAUAACAACUCCCAUCAGCCCAUCUAAAAGUUCCAUUACCUUUAGGCAGCCCAUCUUCCCAACAGCCAUCAUACCGAUUCCCAUUGUUCCAAAUCAUAGUCCCAUUGCCAUUGAUCUUCCCAUUCUUCCACUGUCCAAUGUAAUGAUUCUCAUUCUUCCAUUGAUAUCUCCCCUGUCCAUCCUGAAACCCUCUACGCCAUUCGCCCUCAUAAUAAUCCCCAUUGGCAUAGUUUUGUGUGCCUUGUCCAUGUUUCAAAUUCAUGACCCAACAACCCCUAUAGGUAUCCCCGGAAGAACCAGUGUAAGUACCUUUGCCAUCCAUGUAGCCGCUUUUGAAAUCACCUUCAUAAGUGGCCCCAGAAGGCCAGCUGAAUUUGCCCUUCCCUAAGGUCUUCCCCUUGUACCAUUCACCAACAUACAUACAACCAUCGGUCCAAAGGUACUUUCCAUGGCCAUGGGGCAUGUUGUCCAUCCAUUGCCCUGUGUAGAAAUCGCCAUUGGGGAUCGCUUUCUCCGCAUGAUGGAGCUCACCGGGGCCAGGCUCGUCGUCGGCAGGGGCAACGGACAUUGCUGCAAAUAUGCUAUUAGCCCUCUUCUUCGCUGAGUGUUGUGUUUUUCUCACAGUUGCUUCCCAAGCCUUGACGAUUCCAGCGUAUUCCUUGUACAUUAUCACUCUGAAACGCCUCUACCUUUACCCCUUUGUCGCACUAUCGAUGUAUUUUCUACUCUUUAUGUCUUUUCUUCCCUCCCUUCCUCACUCCCUUCCCCCAUUUUCACCAGAAUUAGAGAAAACCCAGAUCAGAAAAAAUCGGUGUAAUCGAAUUCUUGGCCUGGGUAGCAAUGGCAGAAUCUUGAAAAGCAGGAAAAGAGGGAAAUGGGGGCAACGAAAUCCCGUGUUUCUGUAACAGAAACUCGGAAAGAGAGAGCAAUGGAAGGAAUCAGACGAAGAGGAAAUACACACACACAAAAAAAAAAAAAAAAAAAAAAAAAAAUUGGGCUUUGUUUUUAUGUAAAAUGAGAAAAGGGCAACGAAAAAAAGAAAAUCAAAUACGAUGGGGUGUAGUUUAGAGGUUGUAUGAUGAUUUAGUGAAAUGGGUACCAUUCAGAUUAUGGAAAAUCAAAAGAGAGAAGAAAAAUCAAAAUAAUAAAAGGAUAAACAAAGAAAGGAAGCUGUUUUGAUUGAUGAGGAAAGCAAAAGGUUGUUGGUACCAAUGACUAAGCUUUUUUUCUUUGUUUCUGUAAUUAUUUUUUUAUUAUUCUUUUUUCUUUUUCUUUUUUUAUUUAUUAUUUUUACUUUCUUUAAAAAUAAAAAAUUAAUAAUAAAAUUUAAAAAUAGUUUCCACCAAUAAAUUAAACCAACCCCCAUUUCAAUCCUUUCCCGAAUUUGGUUCCUAAAACAACUAAUUAACCAAACAUUUGGAGGGAGGAGAGAGGCGAUGACCAUUUUAUGUUUUUCUGUUUCUUUUUUACUUUUUUUCUCACUAAAUUUGUUCAUUUGGAUACACACCAAUCAUUUUUCCACUAUAUAUUCUCAUUGCUAUCUAAAAUUUUCAACCAUACCCAUUCUGUUUUGUCUUCUCUGUUAAUUUUGAUUUCAUUCAUAGAAGCAUUGUUACUGUUUUAACUUUUGCUCCUGUAAUUAUUGAACAACCAAGAUUCUUCCCGUUUAAAUUGGACUUUGGUGAAAUUAAAGUAAACCCAUUUAUGCGCAAUGUGUAUUGUAAUAAUGGUAAGUGUUAUACAAAAUUGUAUAUUUUUGAUACAACUAGUCCCUAAAAAUCGUGAUUCUGUGAAUAAGAUUAUGUCAACAAAGGAAUUUGGAAUUGGAUUUAAUAAACUAAAGAAGUAGUUUAGAGAGACGUGGUGGCUACUUUGUAAAUGGAAAUGAGGUCAAAGCCCAAAAGGCCCACUCCACUUCUCCCAAUAAAAUGGGGGAAAAGAAGGUGGGUCCAAAUUAGUUUGAGUUUAGGGCUUAGUGGGUUUAAAAGUUGACACUUGUCCUUUUCUUAUUCUUAUGAACCAAAAGUUACUCAUCAUCAUCAAUUACCAUGAUGAUGGUGAUGAUGGUGAUGAUGGUGAUGGAUCAUACAUCUCCAAAUAUUAUAUCAAAAAACAAAACUCCAUUCUUUUCCCAAAUCUAACUUACACAUCAUCCUUGCCUUUUCUCCUAAUUCACCUUCCAUUUUUGUUUUAUUUCACUACUCUUUUCCUUUCCUUCUCAUUCAUCCUUAUUCAUUUUUCAAACCAUUACUUUCCUGUUCUUCACAAUUCAAAUAUAUGUUUCUUUCUUUUCUUUUCUUCACUUUUCUAAAUAGGUUGCCAAUUAUUUUAUUACCCAACCCCAACCCUCAUUGGUGAAUGAAAAUACAUCUUAAGAACUCAAUAAAUAUAUUUGUGUAUUUUAUUAUGUACAAUUGACCCUCUCGUUAUUUAUAGAAACUUAUAGUUGACAAAUAGAUAAAUAAUUUAAACAACAACAGUUCCUCUUUAAAAUUUGAUUUCAACCUCCUAAAUUAUCAAAAUUUGUUUAGGUAAGUGAAGUAAGAAGCAUGAAAUUAUGAAAUUAGAAAAAAUAUAUAUAUAUAUAUAUAUUCUAUGGUAUACAUAAAAAGUUUACAACUUCAAUCGGUUUUCCACAUUACCACUUGUUGAAAAACAAAAAACCCACAAAAUAACAUUAAAAAAAUGAACCCAAAAAGACAUAAAGUGAUUAUCUACAGUAUUUAAAUAAAUAAAAAGGAGAAUUCAAGAUGGGGUUUGAAAAAGUGUUCGAGAUAAGCUUUUGACUAAGAGAGUUUAUUUAAAAGAAAAAAAACCACUACAAUGUGUCUACCCACAUAUAAUUGCUAUUAUACACAUAGAUAGAGAAUAUAUAUAUGUGUGUAUGUGUGUGUGUGUGACUUUACUUCUACAUCAUUAUUUACCACAAAUUAAAAAAGAAAAAAGAGUUUUAAACUAAGUUAUAUUUAAAUGCUCAUUUCAACCUUAUGAUUUCUUUUAAUUAGUUUAAUAAUUACAUAUUCAGAAUCCCACCGUUCUUUUUCUUUUUAAUUAAUUACACUCUUAAUUUAGAAGUGUGUAUUUGUUAGAUGGACUUCCACGUGUUAUAUAGAUAUAGCCUUUGGGUUGCUCAUUUCAUUUUUUAUGUUUUAAUUAUAAUUAGUCUACAAUUAACUACAAUUUUUUUUUAUUUUUGGAUGUUUAUUGUUUUUUACUUUCAUACAUUGACUAAAAUUAAAUAACAUGGAUAAUUAUAAUUUAUACUAAAAACAUAAUCCAUGAUUAUAAUAACUAAAUUCAAGACCUCAAAUGCAUCUUCAUACUUUCAACUUCAUUCUUUGAUAAAGGUGUGAUAAAGGUGUUUAGUUUAUACAUACCAUUAUUCAACUUUGGCUAUCAAACAAAAACAUUUUCAUUACCCACAGCUUAUCCUGUUCGAAUCUUACACCAUUUAUUAUUCUUAUUAUUAUUUAUUAAUCUUUAUACUAAUUAUCUUCUCUUCUUUCUCCCUCUUUUUCUAUCAUCAUUCUACUCUCUCUUUUUAUAUUCAUAUACUUCUCAUUACAUAUCUUUUUCUUUUCUCUUAAUCAUGCUUUUCUUUUUUUUUCUUUUUUCCCUUUACUUUCAAGUUAUAUAAUCAUCUUCCUUUUUUUUUUAAUAUACCAUUUUUGUUACAUUUUCUUCAUUCUUUCAAAAUUAUAAAAGUUAACUUCACCAUAGGCAAUGAAAUUUUUAGGUUUACUGUUAUAAAAAAAAUCACAAACAACAGUAACUUCUUCAAAAUAUAUAAGAGAUCAAGAUAACUUUAUCACGUGUAUUUAUUGUUAGUUUGAACAAAUAUUUUGGUUGAAACUUUUGUUAAAUUCACAAUUUGAUCCCAGCAUUUUUAUCCAAUAUAGACUCCAUGUGUUACAAUUAAGACUACCCCAUAAUAUAGCUUCUUGUUUUCCUUCUUUUUGUUAUUAUAUAGUUUGGACAGAAAUAUAUAUCAUUUUGAUAAUGUAUUUAAAUGUUGGUGUUCAUAGUUUAGUAUGUUUGAUACAUAUAUUUACUUUUAUAAGUACCAUUCUAUGAUCUACAAUUUGAGAUAUCAAGAGUUGAUCAUCUUCAUAUGAUAAAUUUGUUCAAUAUAUACUACAUUGUUUGAUCAUUUUGAGUAUAAUUAAAGAUAUAUAAUAAUAAUAAGAGAAGGCAGUGUGGUUAGCAUGAACAAGUUUGAUGAUUUAAUUUAAGGAGUUUGUGUUGUGUGUUUUAAUAUUCAUAAAUGUGCUAAGAAUAGAGGAAGGACAGAAGUAGUAGAAGAGGCGUAAAAAGGGGUUGAAAAUGGAUAAAUAGGAAGCAUAUAUAGGGAUUUAAAAGAAAAGCAAAACAAAUCAAUAAUAAUUAAGAUGAAGGCACAUGGAAGGCAUUAAUUUAAAUUAAGAGUAAGAAGGCAAUGGGAGGAUUAUUAUUAUUGUUCUUUCAUUUGACAGAAACGCAAAGAAAGGGAGAUAGAUAUAUGUGUGAUUUGAUUGGGUGAAAAAUAGGGAACGUGUAAAAGCAAAGACCAUUAUUAUUUAUAAUUUGAUAUAUAUAUAUAUAUGUAUUGGGUAUUAAUUGGGAAAAUAUUGAUGAGUAGGGCAUAUAUAAGAAUGGAAAGGUUAGAAAAAGAGAGUGGGGGUUUGGAGGGGAGGGGGGGGGACAAAGGUGAAUGUGUUGUCUACAUAAAUAGAGGCAAAGUGGUGAUGACAUGGAAAACACAAAAUGACCAAACCCAACCCACAAAUUAUUUCUUUUUUAUGUGUACAAUGUUAAGAAAAAGGCCUCAUUGCCAUCUCUCUCUCUUUCUCCAUCUCCAUCUCCAUCUCCAUCUCCAUCUCUGUCUCUCUAGUCACACUUACCAAAUACUCUUUUUGUCUCUCAACUCUUUUUAUUUUCCUCCCCCUCACCCCAUCGUCUCCAAUCCACACUCAUUUCUUCUUUUCUUUCUUUUAUAUAUAUGUAUUCUUCUUUAUUAUGUCCAUUCAUUCCGCAGGUUCAGUUUUAUGUAAUAAUCUCUUUGUUUUCAAGAAGAAAAAUAAAAUCCCUUACAGUAUACUCUCUCACAUUUAACCUAUUCUUUUGAACAAUCUCAAAGGCCAACGAUAUAUAUAAUUGUUUUGUCCCUAUACAGUAUAUUAUAGAAAAACCAAUAACAUUCUAACCUUUUAUAUUCUUUGCAUAUUUUGGUUUUGUUAUGAAACAUUGAAAUUUAACAGAAAUAUUUGCACAUGGACACUUAUAAUAUAAAUAAAUUAAGUAAUUUACCAAAUUUUAAAAAGGGUGUGGUGGAAGAUGAAUAUAUGAAGAAAAAAUCAAAGCAUAUCAAUAAUACAUACAUUUUAUUGAACCAUGCUCUCAUGCUCAUUUUGGGUGGGAGAUUAAUGUGCUAAACUAGCAAUAAUUAUUACAAUAUUAAACAAUUAAUGAGGAUAAGUCCAAAAGAAUGAAAAGUGUGUUAAUUAUAAAGUUUAAUUAGGUUGGCAUAUAAAGAUUCUAAGUUGAAGACAAUGAUAGAAAAAAACAAAAGAAGGAUGUUGGAGUUUGUCACGUGAUGGCUAUUAUAUAUUUAACCCUAAACAAGGCCACAUGAUUAGUUUUUGUAUAUUAUAAUUUUCAAAUGUGAAACUUUUUAAUCUAGAAACUU
rnacentral:lncRNA from 1 species